rnacentral:misc_RNA from 1 species
GUUAGGCUGGUACGUCUCUGCGUGGAAUUUGGGGCUUUGGAAUUUGAAGGGACCGAAUUCAAGCAGAUUGAUGGCCUGGCGAUGGGUUCGCCGUUGAGCCCGGUACUCGCCUGCCUUUUCAUGGAGACAUUAGAAGCGGACCACUUCUUGAGCAUUGCUGGUACCGAUACGACCUGGCUCCGGUAUGUCGAUGACAUUCUGGUCAUCAUCAACAAAGAUGUCGAUUUAAAUUGUAUUUUGCAGCAGUUGAACAGUGUGCAUCAGAAGAUACAAUUUACCUCCGAAGAGGAGGAAGAUGGCACUAUUGCAUUUCUGGACGCGUGCAUCCAUAAUCGGGGCAACAAGGCUGUAUUUUCAGUGUACCGGAAGCCCACCAACAAGAAUGACCUGAUACACUUCUACUCGGCGCACAGCAGUCGAACAAAAACUGGAGUCGUGCUGGGAUUUUAUCUUCGAGCACUUCGCAUUUGCUCAGAAGAAUUUAUCAGGGACGAGCUGAACUACAUUAAAGAAGUAUUUAUUGGACUCAAGUACCCGCCAGGUCUUUUAUGUCAGCUAGAGAAGAGGGCCGUCAAAAUACGAGCUAGAGCUUCAAACGCCACAAGGAAUAGCAAGAGGAGGUAUCUCUCAGUCCCAGCAUCAAAAGAAGUAGAAGCUGUGGACAAUUUUGUAAGGGAAACUAUCAAUAUUUCAUCCCCAGCGGGCCUGACCAUUAAAAACCUUGUGCAAACGAAGAAGAAAGGUUCUACUAAUGAGGAUAGUGUCGUUUACAAAAUUCCUUGUGGUGCAUGUGAUAAAUGUUACGUCGGUGAAACAUACAGGGGCAUUAGAACCAGGCAAAAGGAGCAUAAGAGUGACCUUAGGUACCACCGUCUGUCCAACGCCCUUGUGCAACACGUAGAUGAGGCGGGACAUCUCCCCAACUGGGAUGAUAUGUCUGUGUUGUGUAGGGGUUUGACAAAGAAGCAUAGGCAGGCUGUAGAAGCAGCUUAUAUUCACAUCUUUGACAAUCUAAAUGGUAAUGCAGGAAAAGUGAAACUGAGCAGAUUUACGGCUGAACUUAUUUUGCACGAUCUAAAAACCAGAAGUGCAAAGUGAGAAGCGACGGGUGUGAAGCAUUGCUAUUUGAAUUUUAAUCUGUGCCGCAAACUAUUUUGACAACUUUGAUGUUUAGGCGAAUUAUUUGCAUUUUAUUUUGUCUUUAUGGCUUGAAAAAGAUUUAUAUCGAAACACAUGUGUAGCCAACUUAAAGUAAUAUAACCAAAAACGUUCCCAUUGUUUUCCACUUAUAAUUCAAAAACAAGGCUAAAUGCAAUACUUAUCCGACAGCACGCCUGUGCAGCAUGUUGACAGGGCCACCCGCGGCUGUGCGUGUGGCGGCUACUGACCUGUGCGUCGGAUCGGAACAGCUCCCCUCCCCUCCCCCCCCCCCCCGCCGUCCGAACUCGCCGGUCACGUGACCGGCCGAGAUGACCCGGGGGGCGGCGGGCGGUGGUAUAAAAGCGGCGUGCGGCCGCCGGAGUUCGAGCAGCACCGCCGCCGCUUCA